rnacentral:rRNA from 1 species
CAAUAGCGUAUAUUAAAGUUGUUGCAGUUAAAAAGCUCGUAGUUGGAUUUCUGGUGAGAUGGAUUAUGUCUGGGUCGAAAGAUCUUGUUCAUGGUUCGUUUUGCCCUUCUUGUCAGGAACCCGCUGAGAUUCGCGUCUUGUCGGUGGAAUGGCAUCGUUUACUGUGAAAAAAUUAGAGUGUUCAAAGCAGGCAUCGCCGUUGAAUACAUUAGCAUGGAAUAAUAAGAUAAGACUUUGGUGGUCUAUUUUGUUGGUUUGCACGCCAAAGUAAUGAUUAAUAGGGAUAGUUGGGGGUAUUCGUAUUCUAUUGCUAGAGGUGAAAUUCUUAAAUUUAUGGAAGACGAACUACUGCGAAAGCAUUUACCAAGGAUGUUUUCAUUAA